UCCAGACUCCUACGGGAGGCAGCAGUGGGGAAUAUUGCACAAUGGGGGGGACCCUGAUGCAGCAAUGCCGCGUGAAGGAUGAAGGUUUUCGGAUUGUAAACUUCUUUUGUCAGGGACGAAGCAAGUGACGGUACCUGACGAAUAAGCCACGGCUAACUACGUGCCAGCAGCCGCGGUAAUACGUAGGUGGCAAGCGUUAUCCGGAUUUACUGGGUGUAAAGGGCGUGUAGGCGGGACUGCAAGUCAGAUGUGAAAACCACGGGCUCAACCUGUGGCCUGCAUUUGAAACUGUAGUUCUUGAGUACUGGAGAGGCAGACGGAAUUCCUAGUGUAGCGGUGAAAUGCGUAGAUAUUAGGAGGAACACCAGUGGCGAAGGCGGCCUGCUGGACGAUGACUGACGCUGAGGCUCGAAAGCGUGGGGAGCAAACAGGAUUAGAUACCCCAGUAC
rnacentral:rRNA from 1 species